rnacentral:rRNA from 1 species
GAUGAACGCUGGCGGCGUGCUUAACACAUGCAAGUCGAACGGAAAGGCCCCUGCUUGCAGGGGUACUCGAGUGGCGAACGGGUGAGUAACACGUGGGUGAUCUGCCCUGCACUUCGGGAUAAGCCUGGGAAACUGGGUCUAAUACCGGAUAGGACGAUGGUUUGGAUGCCAUUGUGGAAAGUUUUUUCGGUGUGGGAUGAGCUCGCGGCCUAUCAGCUUGUUGGAGGGGUAAUGGCCUACCAAGGCGUCGACGGGUAGCCGGCCUGAGAGGGUGUACGGCCACAUUGGGACUGAGAUACGGCCCAGACUCCUACGGGAGGCAGCAGUGGGGAAUAUUGCACAAUGGGCGCAAGCCUGAUGCAGCGACGCCGCGUGGGGGAUGACGGCCUUCGGGUUGUAAACUCCUUUCGCUAGGGACGAAGCGCAAGUGACGGUACCUGGAGAAGAAGCACCGGCUAACUACGUG